UGCCCGGCGACCUGCGCAGGAACCGGAAGCUGCGCUCACAAAACAGAAGAGGUCGGAAGCGCGUCUCGCUUUCGUCUCCCGUUCGCCCGCUGCCCGCGUCGGUUCUGAGCUUCGGCCGGUCACCCGCUGCCUCCCGUCGCUUGCACCAUGGCCCUCAGCGAUGCCGACGUGCAAAAGCAGAUUAAGCACAUGAUGGCUUUUAUUGAACAAGAAGCCAAUGAGAAAGCAGAAGAAAUAGAUGCAAAGGCAGAAGAAGAGUUCAACAUUGAGAAAGGUCGUCUUGUGCAGACCCAAAGACUGAAGAUUAUGGAAUACUACGAGAAGAAAGAAAAGCAGAUUGAGCAGCAGAAGAAAAUUCAGAUGUCUAAUUUGAUGAAUCAAGCGAGGCUCAAAGUCCUCAGAGCGAGAGAUGACCUUAUCACAGACCUACUAAAUGAAGCCAAACAGAGGCUCAGCAAAGUGGUAAAAGAUACGACCAGGUACCAGGUGCUGCUGGAUGGACUGGUCCUCCAGGGUUUGUACCAGUUGUUGGAGCCCCGAAUGAUCAUUCGUUGCAGGAAACAGGAUUUCCCUCUGGUGAAGGCUGCGGUGCAGAAAGCAAUCCCCGUGUACAAAAUCGCCACCAAAAGAGACGCUGAUGUCCACAUUGACCAGGAGGCCUGCCUGCCUGAGGAAGUAGCUGGCGGGGUUGAGAUCUACAACGGGGAUCGCAAAAUCAAGGUCUCCAAUACCCUCGAAAGCCGGCUGGACCUCAUAGCCCAGCAGAUGCUGACCCAAAGCCCCAGAACCCCAAACCGCAGCAGGAAUGAUGGAAAGUCAAGCAACUGCUCUUAAAGGAAUUGCCACAGGGCGCCAGGCUCUUCAGGUGUUUCCGGGUUUGCAGGAAACCAGCCAGAAAACUUGAGUUGUCCCGAGUGCGGGGCCUCUUCCAGAGGUGUGGUCUGCUGCCCCGACCUUGACCGGCGUCUUCUGGUAACUUACACCUCAGAGCCAUGCUACCCACCAGCCACACGUGGCUAAUUAACUAAAGCUAGAUGAUGCCCGAAGUGCGGGGAGCCUUGUUUGGGGCAAAUGCCAACAGGAAGUUUUUGGACUAAGCCUGAGGGAGGUGGCGUCCACCCACUGCGUGACGUGGACGUUUCUGACAGUUGAAGAGACAAGAUGGCCUGCGUAGCUUCCUCUUUGCUGUCCUCCUGUCCUGUCCUGCAUCUAUCGGUGGAAGCCCUGCUGUAGCUAACACCCCGGCUGGUGGGGACCAACGGGCGAGAGUCUCACUUAGUACGACCAGGAAACCUUCCUCUAGCUUGUCUCAAAGUAACACAACUUCCCGCUGUUCUGCAGCACAGAGGCGAGGGGUCAGGUGGUGGGUGCAUGAGUGUCCCCAGGCCUCCUGCUCUCCUGGGGUCCAGCCUCGGGGGGGGCGGAGUGGUGGGCUCUGGGGUCAGGUCUCCACUCUUUGGGCUUCAAGUGCAUGUGGGGCCUCAUUUCUUCCAGCAGCAGCAGCUUCACUGUUAACCUGUUUGGGCCUAGAAAUGUCUAUAAAUGUGAUUUAAGAUCUAAGCCGUGAAUAUGCUUUAUUUAUUAAAAUGUAACACGUA